rnacentral:rRNA from 1 species
CAGUAGCCACGGUAAUACGGAGGGUGCAAGCGUUAAUCGGAAUUACUGGGCGUAAAGCGUGCGCAGGCGGUUAUAUAAGACAGAUGUGAAAUCCCCGGGCUCAACCUUGGAACUGCAUUUGUGACUGUCUAGCUAGAGUACGGCAGAGGGGGAUGGAAUUCCGCGUGUAGCAGUGAAAUGCGUAGAUAUGCGGAGGAACACCGAUGGCGAAGGCAAUCCCCUGGGCCUGUACUGACGCUCAUGCACGAAAGCGUGGGGAGCAAACAGGAUUAGAUACCCGAGUAGUCCCUGUCUCUUAUAC